AGCAGCCGCGGUAAUUCCAGCUCCAAUAGCGUAUAUUAAAGUUGUUGCAGUUAAAAAGCUCGUAGUUGAAUUUCGGGAUCAAUUUAUUGGUCGUGCAAUAGUACGUACUGGUAUUAUUGGUUCCUACCUUCUGAUGAACCAUGAUGUCAUUAAUUUGGUGUUAUGGGGAAUCAGGACUGUUACUUUGAAAAAUUAGAGUGUUUAAAGCAGGCUCACGCUUGAAUACAUUAGCAUGGAAUAAUGAAAUAGGACGUUUGAUUCUAUUUUGUUGGUUUCUAGGAUCGACGUAAUGAUUAAUAGGGAUAGUUGGGGGCAUUAGUAUUCAAUUGUCAGAGGUGAAAUUCUUGGAUUUAUUGAAGACUAACUACUGCGAAAGCAUUUGCCAAGGAUGUUUUCAUUAAUCAAGAACGAAAGUUAGGGGAUCGAAGACGAUCAGAUACCGUCGUAGUCUUAACCAUAAACUAUGCCGACUAGGGAUCGGAUGAUAUUAAUUUUUAAUGACUCAUUCG
rnacentral:rRNA from 1 species